rnacentral:rRNA from 1 species
CCCUUAGAUGUUCUGGGCUGCACGCGCGCUACACUGAUGCGAUCAACAAGUUUUUCCUAUGUCGAUAGACACGGGUAAUCUUUUGAACUCGCAUCGUGAUGGGGAUAGAUUAUUGUAAUUAUUAAUCUUCAACGAGGAAUUCCUAGUAGGUGCAAAUCAUCAGUUUGCAUCGAUUACGUCCCUGCCCUUUGUACACACCGCCCGUCGCUGCUACCGAUUGGUUGAUCUGGUGAAUUGUUCGGACUGCCGGCUGAAGGGGUUUCCUCAUCUGCCAGCGGAAAGUCUUGUUAACCCUAUCAACUAGAGGAAGCAGAAGUCGUAACA